UACAGAGGGUGCGAGCGUUGUCCGGAAUCACUGGGCGUAAAGGGCGCGUAGGUGGCCUGGUAAGUAGGGGGUGAAAUCUCGAGGCUCAACUUCGAGGCUGCCUCCUAAACUGUCGGGCUCGAGCAGAGUAGAGGCAGGUGGAAUUCCCGGUGUAGCGGUGGAAUGCGUAGAGAUCGGGAAGAACAUCGGUGGCGAAGGCGGCCUGCUGGGCUCUUGCUGACACUGAGGCGCGACAGCGUGGGGAGCAAACAGGAUUAGAAACCCCAGUAGUCC
rnacentral:rRNA from 1 species